AACUAACGGUGUACGGAUCUGAGAGUAACAUUGAUAUUAUUA
rnacentral:guide_RNA from 1 species